rnacentral:lncRNA from 1 species
AAAAUGUUUAGGUGUAGGUACUUGAAAUGAGAACUUUUCAUUUUAAAUUUAGUAGAGUUAGGUAACCUAUGAAGUGACUUAGUGACUUGAAAUGUUUAAGUGUAGUUACUUGAAUUAUGAAUUAGUGACUUUUGUUUUGAAUUUAGGAACUUGAAAUGUGAACUUGCAUUUUCAUUUUAGUAAAGUGUGGUCACUUGAGAAGUGAAUUAGUGACUUGAAAAUGUUUUAAGUGUAGGUACUUGAA